UCGAGGAUCUUCGUCAAUGGGCGAAAGCCUGAACGAGCGAUGCCGCGUGUGUGAUGAAGGCCUUCGGGUUGUAAAGCACAAAAGUGAAGAGAAAGGGAAACUUGAUCGAUUCACAGUAAGCUCGGGCUAAGUUCGUGCCAGCAGCCGCGGUAAGACGAACCGAGCGAACGUUGUUCGGAAUCACUGGGCUUAAAGGGCGCGUAGGCGGGUGCUCAAGUCUGUGGUGAAAUCCUCCAGCUCAACUGGAGAACUGCCAUGGAUACUGGGUAUCUCGAGGAAGGUAGGGGUAUGCGGAACGAUCAGUGGAGCGGUGAAAUGCGUUGAUAUUGAUCGGAACUCCGGUGGCGAAGGCGGCAUACUGGACCUUUUCUGACGCUGAGGCGCGAAAGCCAGGGGAGCAAACGGG
rnacentral:rRNA from 1 species